rnacentral:lncRNA from 1 species
GAGGUUGCAGUGAGCUGAGAUCGCGCCAUUGGACUCCAGCCUGGGCGACAAGCGUGAAACUCCAUCUCAAGGAAACAAGAGACAGCUUCUAGGAUGUCACCACCCUGCCCCAAUUUAUUACUGGGUCAUAUUGUUUUAGGAAGUUUCUUCCCCUUAUCCUUUAGUUUCUGCAUUUAAAGAGGGACAGGGGCUAGGUGGGGUGGGAGAGGCCAUGGCCUCAGGCACACAUUUAAGGUGGUAUCCCAAAUCUCAGCUGAUCAAGGUAAAUACCAUAACGCAACUUUUUAAAAACCAAAAUGAAUGCAAAAGAAACCUACAAUGAACAGGAUGUCAGAACUCUAAACACGGGAUCCAACUCUGCUUGCACAGCCCUGACUUGCCCUAAUCCCAGGCCAACUUUCCACAGAACUACAAAAACAAAGCAGAUGACCUGUGGGGCCACCGUUUGCCAAUCUGCAUUAAAAUAUUUUUUGGCGACUGAGUUCUCGGCACUCCCUUAAGUCUCAUGUCCCAGGCAAGUGCCUCACCCUAUCCCAGCUCUGGGUAGCACCUGGGAGAAAAACACCUGCAGACAGGUAAAGUUCUUAGUGCAGUGCCUGGCUCAGUCAUGAUGGCAACUCGAAUUGAGGCUCAUCUGCUUUCUUAGAAGAGGUUAAAUACAGGGAGACAAACAAGCUAUUUGUGUUCUGUAGUGUCUAGAAGGCAGCAAGAAACCUUAAGCAGAGGGGCGGGAGAUCGCCUUGAUUUCUGUUCUUCAGUGGAGAUUUUACAAGCUGAUCUGAGUAAAGAUCAAAAGGAUCCAGUUUUCCCCAAUACCUAACCGGAAACUCAUCUGUCUGUGGCAUGGAGCAACACCUUCCUUAAAGUGGCCCCACGAAAUUUUUCUAAAGAUGGAGUCGCAUUGCUACCCAGGCUCGACUUGAACUCUUGGGCUCAAAUAGUUCUUCCUAGCUCAGUCUCCCAAGUAGCUGGGACCAUAGACACUCAUUACUGAUGCUGGCUCAAUUUCAUGUUAACAUUUCCCCCUUGCCUUUUAUCCAAGGCCAAUCACCCUGUUGCUUGUACUUAGGGGUUAACAGACUGGCCUUCCAAAUCAUGUCCUUUUUAUAAAUAAAGUUUUAUUGGCCCACAGCUAAACUUAUUUCCUUCCCUAUUCUCUGUAGCUGCAUUACAGUGGCCGAGUUGGAACCUCUGUGCUACAACAGCAGUGGCAACAGAGCUGAUAACAAGUAGGACCAGCAAAGCUCAAAACAUUUACUAUCUGGCCCUUAACUGAAAAAGUUUGCGGAUCCCUGGGGCUCAGGUGAAGUCAAACUGCAAACAUUCUCAGUUUCCUCUUCCAGAUCCAGAGGGCUCUGCAAAUCAAGGCUGGUGUAAGAAUUGCCAUUCUGGUCUGUGCCAUGUCAGCUGCUCCUUUCUAUUAAGGCUGUUUUAUUUGGUUAUUACCUGUACAUUUUAAGUCUCAUUCUAGCAGGUUUAGCCAGUUCAGCCCCCAAUUCCGAAUGAUUUAACCCCAUCCACUGCCAUCUUCUAAUUUCCUAGAAAUGGUAAGGUAAGACUACCCCUACUCCUACAAGUUUCCUGGUCCUAGACUUCCCUCUUAGCCUACUUUUCUCUGAAUCUUGGAAUUCUUACCAGUCUCAAAAAUUCUUUUAAGUUACCCAAAUUCUUUUUAAUACUCAUUCAGCCUUAUUCUCUUGAACUACACUCUCAGCUUUGUGCAAAUCCCAUUUGUGUCUCUGCCAGAAAAUUUGGUAUCUUUUAGUGUGUUUUACAAGUCACACUUGCCAGUUCAGAGCAAAGUACUCUGCAGGAGGGCUUGCUACAUUCUAAGACCAUGGGCCAAAUCUAGCCUGCCACCUGUUUUUGUAAAGUUUUAUUGGAACACAGACACACUUGUUUUUUCUUGCAAUCUAUGGUUGCUUUUGCACUAAAACCACAGAGCUGAGUAGUUGCAAAAAACUUUAUGGCCCCACCCACUGCCUGAAGUAAAUAUUGGGUUCACAGCUUUUUACUCACCUCUGCUCUAUUGGGAAUCCAAGUUUGCUGGGUGAUACCAGCUUGGAUAUAAAAUCCUUAAAGUCCAUACAGCUGUUAACAAAAAAUGCCUUCUAAAAAGGCUGAUAUCUUUCCUCUUUGUCUAAAGAGCUAUAACAAGAAGUACAAGGAACGUUUAUGUGAUUUCAAUCUAUGGGUUCCCACUUGAAAGGUCAACAACCUUCUAGAACAGAAACGCAGAUCAGAUUCACGACAAACAGCAGAAAGGUAACAAUAGCAACUGUACAAUAGCACCAGCAUUCAGUAACCAAACACUUUUCUGAUCAAAACGAUCAUCUCCAAAGAGACUAAUUCUAUCCUGGGUCUCUGUCAUCAUUUUAAUCUUUUCUUCUUACAAUAGAGAUUCAGCAGUACACCAUCACCUACCUGAUGUAAAACUUAAACGGAGUCAGAUUUGCCCAAACUACCACCAUUCACAAAAUAAACUAGGUACCUCUAUUUCACAAGUGAAAUAGUCCCUUCUACACAACCUAUAAAAUCUUACAUCCUUUUUUCUUAGUUUACCAGGAACAAUGGAUCUACUUAAUCUGUUUCAAUUCCAGAGAUGUUCAGCUUGAUGAGGGCACACAAGACUUUAUAUUUAAAAAGAGUAUUUGAAGGAAAGAUGCCAAAAGUAGAAACCAAGCAACUUUGGGUCACAAGGGCCGCUGCUUCUGGGUCACAGCCCAAGGGAGGCAUGCCAUGGGCUCCCUGGCCUGCUUCCAUUGCCUGCUGGCUAAGCGAUGCAGAGAACUACAGCAGCUGCCUCAGACCCAGAGGCUAAGCCAAGUGUUCAGGAUGGCAGAGCCAUUGGACCAGCUGUGGACUCUAUGCCUCUGAAGAUGUACUCAAGAAAUAAACUGGAUUACGUUUAA